ensembl:snoRNA SNORD62 Small nucleolar RNA SNORD62
UCUCAGUGAUGCGAUUCCAGCAGAUCCUUCUGACUCUCCACUGUGGACUCAGUAGCAGGGAGAUGAAGAGGACCGUGACUCAGAGA